GUCCUUGCGCAGUGGUGAUCACCGUAGUCAAUGAGGGUCUCCCGAUGGCACGGUUAUUGCUGAUUGAAAACUAUCCCAAUUACCCGCACUCGGCCACUGGCCUUGUGCAAUUUUUGAGCAUGUCCCAACAU
rnacentral:snRNA from 1 species